UCUACGAUAGUGAAAAGUAAAUCUACGAAAAGGGUUUUUGAUUUUUGUUUCUCUUUGACCAAUGUCACACGAGAAGUAUUUUGUGAAAACUGACAUGUUAUCUGUUGUCUAUUACACCUCUAUUUAUGUUAGUCAACACAUGAUCACCCUUGUAAGCGCGCCGCUCUGCCUUUAUGACGCAUAACAACCGACAUGUGGAAUCGAUUCAGCAGGGUGGGCUAAGCUCCAGCCCUUGCCAAUCCCCCUCUUCAGCAGGCUCGUCAGUGUUCCCGUACACUUCGACACGAUAACGUCAACGUCUCGUUUAUCCUAGGUCGUUCUCGGAUACUGGUGACAUCUAGGACUUGCAGAUUCUCGCCGUUACUAUGGCAGUUUCAGCGGCGUCGGCCGGAGGCUGUUCUGCGGCUCGAAGGCAUGAUUAUGACUAUAGGAACGACGACAGCAUUCGACUUCCACGGUUCAAGAAAACACCGAAACAGGGUAAAAGCACAAACACCAAAACACCCAAGCCGACCUCAGUGAGCAGCUCCCCGAAGAAAGACGACGGGACGCAACCACCAAGUGCCAAGUGCAAUGUCUUGUAGCGGGUGCAUUCAUGUUCGACAUGGCGGGCACUUAUGACGUCACAUUUCCACGGAUUAUAACACUGGUGUGACACUGAAGAAAAGGCCAGGGGUCAUCCGUGAAAGGUCAUCAGGAAAACAACCUUCCAGGACAAUUCGUAUCUUAUUCAUUGAUAACCGACUACAUGCAUUGUGUAGUUUAACUUAAUUUCUCUCACUGGUUCUUGCUCAUCGAUAUUUGAGAAUAACGUAGUUCAGCUAAUUUCUUUCAUUGAUAUAUAUGACAAUCCAGCAUCAGUAUAUAUCUGCUUCUGGAAAAGUCUUCCAUCCAUACCACUUUGUUGACAAUAUAGUACGGAAGACUAUUUAGUAUUAACAGUAUUGCAUAUUGCAUAGUUUACAAACCGGAAGUAGAUGCCUGUAAUUCAUUGAUACCUAACAAUACCUUAAGAAGACUGGCUUACUUUGGCUCCGAUAUAUAUAUCGGAUUUAGACAUUUUGACAGAUUGAUAUUAAUCGGAAUAUCACUUGUGCUGAUUAAACCAAUCGAAACACUGAUUACAAACUACCACGAGAACAAUUGCAAGUGGCCCAUAUGGUCAAAGCCUGGCCAGCCUUACGAUGCGCAGGCCUCGAAAGAAUCUGUCUGAUAUAUCGGCCCAUUUUUCUGCCCACAAUUAUCAUAUCUGUUGCCUAUCAUAGGGGAACUAUCUGUCAAAAUGUCAAAAAUCUGGUGCUUGGUCCAGAGAAAUUAGAAUUAACAUUACCGUAGUCAGACUUAAUUGAUAUCUGCAGCUGAGGAAAUAUAAUAAUAUUAUUUCGUUAC